rnacentral:tRNA from 1 species
GGGGGGAGGGUAUAAUGGUAGAGCAUCUGCCUGGCAUGCAGGAUGUCCUGGGUUCAAUCCCUGGUACUUCCA